rnacentral:tRNA from 1 species
UUCGUUAGCUCAGCAAGCAGAGCACUCGGCUCCUUACCGAUCGGUCGUGGGUGCAAUUCCCACACGAAGUA